rnacentral:tRNA from 1 species
GGGUCGUUUGCUCAGUUGGUAGAGCAGUUGACUUUUAAUCAAUUGGUCGCAGGUUCGAAUCCUGCACGACCCACCA